GACGAACCGUGCGAACGUUGUUCGGAAUCACUGGGCUUAAAGGGCGCGUAGGCGGGCGGCCGCGUCCGGGGUGAAAUCCCACGGCUCAACCGUGGAACGGCCUCGGAUACGGGCGGCCUCGAGGGGGGUAGGGGCAUCUGGAACUGUGAGUGGAGCGGUGAAAUGCGUUGAUAUUCACAGGAACUCCGGUGGCGAAGGCGAGGUGCUGGACCCCUUCUGACGCUGAGGCGCGAAAGCCAGGGGAGCGAACGGG
rnacentral:rRNA from 2 species